UACGAAGGGUGCAAGCGUUACUCGGAAUUACUGGGCGUAAAGCGUGCGUAGGUGGUUUUUUAAGUCCGUUGUGAAAGCCCUGGGCUCAACCUGGGAAUGGCAGUGGAUACUGGAAAGCUAGAGUGCGGUAGAGGGUAGUGGAAUUCCCGGUGUAGCAGUGAAAUGCGUAGAGAUCGGGAGGAACACCAGUGGCGAAGGCGGCUACCUGGACCAGCACUGACACUGAGGCACGAAAGCUAGGGGAGCAAACAGG
rnacentral:rRNA from 1 species